rnacentral:rRNA from 1 species
AUUGAACGCUGGCGGCAGGCCUUACACAUGCAAGUCGAACGGUAGCAGGAAAGCACUUCCUGUUUCGCUGAGGAGACGCGUGCGUAAUACUUCUGUACGUGCAACUGCGUGGUGGAUAACGUUAAGUACUGGACACUGUUGCUGCUACCGCAUAACGUCGCAAGGCCAAGGAGGUUGACCCCCCGGGCUCUUGCCGUCGCCUGUGUCCAGGUGGGAUUAGGUUGUUGGUGGGGUAACGGCAUACCAAGGCGACGAUCCGUAGCUGGUCUGAGAGGAUGACCAGCCACACUGGAACUGAGACACGGUCCAGACUCCUACGGGAGGCAGCAGUGGGGAAUAUUGGACAAUAGGCGCAAGCCUGAUCCAGCCAUGCCGCGUGUAGGAAGAAGGCCUUCGGGUUGUAAAGUACUUUCGGCGGGGAGGAAGGGAGUAAAGUUAAUACCUUUGGUCAUUGACGUUACCGUAAGAAUAAGCACCGGCUAACUCCGUG